CAGUGUGAGACAGCUAAAAAAUGACCUCUCUUAUCACUGAUGUUUCUCUCCUCCCUCCCUCUCUGAAAUAUAUAAAUUUUACAGUAACUACUUUCCAUUACAGAAUUUUAUUUUCUAGUCAGUGUAAAGAUACUGGUUCGUUGAAGAUAAUUUUAUUAACUUUCUGAACAUUAAAUUAAUAAAAUAUAAAAUACAAAUUUAAUACUCAUAGAAGGACGUGACAUGGCAAUUGUCUCUUUCAAAAAUCUUACUAAAAACAUUGACGUCUUCAGGUUAUCCUUUCAAACAGUGGUUCUCAUGCUUGGAGGUGCAGCAGAAUCCCCUGAGGACCAGUGAAAGUGACUGCUGGCCUCGCCUGCAUGUGAUUUGGGCCUGAGGUUCUCAUUUCUACAGAGGUGGGGGGCUCUGGUCUGGGAACCACGGCUUUUUAGUAUUAACAUAUUUAUCCCCUCAGGUCCUUAAUCUCUAUAUGACCUCACAACAAAAUGCCAGUCCUAGAAGUAAGUGAAUUAUUGAAUAAUACUUUAUAGUUCAAAUAGACUAGUUCGAUGCUUGAAUAUUUUUAGGUCUGCUGCUCAGUGACUCAGCAAAUUAUUUUCUUUGUAACAGAAUGCUUGUAAAGACAUGGGAGGAAAAAAGCCAUAAACCAAUUGUAUUUCAUUUGUGAGUUUAUUACUCCAUAUUAGCAAUGUAUACAUAUAGGAGCAAUAACACUUAACAUUUAAAAAAUUAGGCCUCGUGGACAAAUUUUCUAUGGUUUAAAUAUCGGAAUAGAGCAAACUUUACGUUUUUGGUUUUAUUUUAUUUUAAAGAUGUGUACCUACUCCUUGUGUGGUCUUUCUGGUUAAUGUUGUGAAAUAUUAUGGUAGCAGCCCACAAAUACAGAACAACGGACAAACCUCCUUUUCAACUCUUUGUGAAUGGGAACCACUGGAGGGAUCUUUACCCCCGGCAAUUUUGGGUCAGUCUCCAGGAUAAGGAGCUAUUCAAGAAGCCUGUCAUUGUUAUGAGAGAAAAAUCAUGUUUUUACUAAAGCAUAUAUCUUGGCCCAAGGAAAGUAAAUGGGCGAUAUGAGUAAGGCAGAGAUAUGUUGUAGAAUAAUGGAAAUUAUAUUCUUACAAGUUAAACUGAUUUAGAUUCCAACUGGGAGUCCUCUGGGAACUCAGGAUGACAGAUAACUAUUUUCCAGUUUUGUAACUGAUUUAAUUGUGAGCCCUCUUUCAUUAUAAUUUCCAGCUUAGUAUUAGGGGUCCUGUGUACACGGAGGUAGUAUCCAGCCCUAGAGAUCCCAGAAGUAUUAUAUGUUAGCACAGGAUGGAGGAAGCAAGGUGUAUUCUAUCAGCCAUCCUCUGAACUGAGCAACAUUUAGUUUGAGAUGUUUAUACAGUAUUAUGCUAUGAAACAUUAACUGUAUGAAAAAUUUCAAAGUUCUCAUUUUUGAAGUCAAUUUUGGCUAUUGUGGUAUAUAAAGGUUUGGCAAAAGUAGAUUUAUACUUUUCAGUUUCUCCCAGUUUUUACUCAAAGUCUAGACUUUCAUGGUAAAUGGUUUGUAAGGCCCUUUCACCGUUAAUAUUCUGUUAGCAAUAACUUACUAGUGCUAACAGUGUAGCUAGUCGGGUGUGGGUCAGUGGUUAAGCCUCAUCCUAUGAAGCAGGAGGUCAUGGUUCGAUUACCAAUCAGGGCACAUGCCCAGAUCCCUAGUGGGGGGAGUGCAGGAGGCAGCAGAUCAACGAUUCUCUCACAUCGAUGUUUUCAUCUCUCCCUCUCCCUUCUUCUCUGAAAUCAAUAAAAAUAUAUUUUUAAAAAUAAUAAAGCUAACAGUGUAAUGCUGAGGAUUUAAAAAGCAGCACCUGAAUUCCAAAUUGCAACCUCCUGACAUUCCACUGAGUAAAUCCCACAAAUUUAAGAAUUCAGAUGGAAUGACUUGAGAAGAUAUUGUAUGAAAUUAAAUAAUUUCAUAUUCCUGGACUGAAACCAAACUAUUUAACUGUAGUCCAUCAUUUAGUGAGUGUUACUAGGUACUUUUCUUUGGUACUAAGUAUUGCAGAUAAAAGAAUGUGUAAUGUGCUGUCUAUAAGCCAUACUCAGAGCAGAUCUAAAUGGUGUAGUUAGGAAGUUAAGUUGACUGAAUAACCCAAUUAUGUGUCCUUAUGUCAUUAUACAUUGGAAAGGAGGAAUGGCUGAGGAGUGAUUUUUCUUUUUUUUUUUAAAGAUAAAAUUCGAGCAAAAAACUAUUACUAAUUGCUUUUCAGGUAGUCUGGCCAAAGAGGAAUGCAUCCCAUUUGUGAUGACCUGCUUAGUCAUGAGAUCACCUGUGGUUGAAAUAAUAAGCUCAGAAGUCACAAAGGAAUUAAACUUCAUUUCUGGAUGCUGCUGCUUCAAUGAUGGCUGCAAAAGGGCAGAAACUAUCUCACUAAGAAGGUAACCAACUCAUCUGGUUUGCCCAGCAUCCCCGGAAUCGCUCCAUGUAUCAUGCAAACCAGGAAGGCUGGUCGACCUACUUGCAGGCUAUCUGGAUCUGUUAUCCAUGUGAACAAACUGAGAUGAGCUGGCUUCCCAGGAUUCCAUGUAGCUAUAAAUGCUGAAUAUAGAUCUCCUACACCUGGAAUUGGAGUUACCAUCUUGCAGACAUGAAGACCCAAGUCAGAUUCUAACUAUGGUGGAUGAGAAAGAGAGGCUAUUCCUGCCUAAACUGCCUACUUCUAUACUUGGUUAUAUGAAAAAUAAACACCUUACUUGUGUUAGCUACUGUCUGUGACGUUCCUAUUAUGUGUUGCCAAAAUAAAUGUCUUAGAAUUCUUUUGAAAAAGAAUGGGUAAACUGUGAAGCAUCUGGACAAUGGAAUGAUCCAGCAUUAAAAAGAAAUGAGCUAUAGAGCCCGGAAAAGACAUGGAGGACAUUUAAAUGCAUAUCAGUAAGUAAAAGAAGACCAUCUGAAAAGGCUACAUGCUGUAUGAUUCCAACUAUGUGAAAUUCUGGAAAAGGCAAAAAUAUGGAGACAAGAAGAUCAGUGGUUUUCAGGGUUUAGUGGGGGAGAGAGGGAUGAAUAAAGUGGAGCCCGGGGGGCAGUGAAACUAUUCUGUGUGAUACUAUGAUGGUGGGUAUGUGUCAUACAUUUAUCAAAAUCCACAGAAUGUACAACACCAAGGUGAACUAACAAACAUGGACGAUAGGUUCAUUAACUGUACCACGUUGGUAGAAGAGGUGGGGGAGGCUGUGCAUGUGUGGGGGCAGGGGUUAUAUGGAAGAUCUCUUGUACUUUCUGCUCAAUGUCACAGUGAGCCUGAAAGUGCUCUAAAAAUUGUGUCCAUUAAAAAACAAGAAUGAACUAAAAUUUAAGAAAAUGUGAGCCAAAUUAAGAGCCUAGUCAAGAUUUUAAGGAGAUGCUUCUAGAUUAAGUCUAAAAGUUUCUAAGACCUCAAUACCUGUAGAAAAGUAAUUCAUAUGCCACUUAAAUCUGUGAUCUUUUUAGAAGAGAAGCCCAUUGGGACCUCUACUUGAUAAUCUUUUCUGAGCAGUUACAUAUACAGACCAUUCCAGUUUUUGUCUUUUGUAUGUGUGCACGUGCGUGUGUGUGUGUGUGUGUGUGUGUGUGUGAAAAUAAUUUAGAUAGAGGGCCUGCUACCAGAGGGAGAUAAAAUUAUAGUUUAAUUUAAACUAAUGUUUGAUAGACGGAGGAACCUAGCAAGGCCUUUCUUUCUUAAUCCUCAUGAGGAUAUGGUUUUUUAUUUUGGGGGAGGAGAAUGGGAGAGGGAGAGAGAAAUAUCAAUGUGAGAGAGAAACAUCUAUUGUUUGCCUCCUGUACACACAGGAGGCAAUUGGAAAUCAGACUCACAACCUAGGCAUAUGCCCUGACUGGGAAUCAAACCUGCAACCUUCUGGUGUAUGGGAUGAAUGAUUCUUUAA